AAUCAACGCUGGCGGCGUGCCUAACACAUGCAAGUCGAACGAGAAAGGGUAGCAAUACCUGAGUAAAGUGGCGCACGGGUGAGUAACACGUGACUAACCUACCCUGGAGUGGGGGAUAACUGAGGGAAACCUUAGCUAAUACCGCAUAACACCUACGGGUCAAAGGAGCAAUUCGCUUCAGGAGGGGGUCGCGGCCGAUUAGUUAGUUGGCGGGGUAAUGGCCCACCAAGACUGUGAUCGGUAUCCGGCCUGAGAGGGCGCACGGACACACUGGAACUGAAACACGGUCCAGACUCCUACGGGAGGCAGCAGUGGGGAAUUUUGCGCAAUGGGGGAAACCCUGACGCAGCAACGCCGCGUGGAGGAUGAAGUACUUCGGUACGUAAACUCCUUUCGAUCGGGACGAU
rnacentral:rRNA from 1 species